UUAAAUUAAUCUGAACUGAAGUUUAUUAUUUUAAAUUGGUUCAUCAAUUUUAGAGAUUAUAUUUAAAAAUUUUUUUACACUUAUUUAUAUAUUAUUUUUAAUAGUUUAAAUAAAUUUAAAUAUAAAAUAAUUAUUUUAAUUUAUAAAAUUUAAAUUUUGUAAAACUAAUAAAAAUAUAAUUAAAUUCUACUCAAAUUAAACUUAUAUUAUCGUAUUCGUGUGAUACACCAAGAAUUUGUAUUGCUUGAAUUUUUUUACUUUUUUUUUUUCAUUUUCUAUGUCAACAUCGUCUGUGCUAUAGAUGAUUGUUAGCUUUUUUAUAUUAUUUUAAAAUUCUGAUGCUAUAGAUUCGUGAGUGUUCACUCCAUAGACCAAAAUUAUUCAUUAGGUGGAUGCUAAUUUUUUAUUGAUUAAGUACAGUGCAGACAAAGCAAAAAAACAGAAAUUAGCAAUUGCGGCAAAGUCAGCUGUUCAUAGAUGAUUGUUCCCAUUUUUGAAUUGUGUUAAGGUGAUGUUUAUUAUAAUUUUAUUUCAUCUUUUAGAAUUCCAAUAUUGAUCGUAGAAGCAAUCGUUCGAUUUUGGUGACUUUCGUUAGUUUUCCGCUCGAUACUUUCGGCCGGAUAGUGAUGUUAUAGUAAUUUCGUUUUUUUUGUGCUAUAGAAAAGGAUCUGAGCUGCUUCAAUUAUUUUACCAACUUUUUUCUUCGUUUUCUAUGUCAAAGUCAUCGGUGCUAAAGUUGCAGUUACUUUUUCAAUUUAAAAUUUUUGUCUAGACGAUAGUUAUUAAUACAUUAAUUUUUUCAUCAUUACAAAAGAGUCGGUCGGUUUUGAUAAAGUGUUGUAAAUGUUCAUCGGUAGACCAAACUAUUUUCACCUGUCAAUUUUCGCAAGGAGUCGCACGAUUUCGAGAGACUUUCAAAAGUGCUCGGGCGAUGCAAAGUGCACGAUAAAGAAACGGUAGCCCAAAACUAUUUGUCCAUAUGGGAAUAUGUUAUUUAAACUUCAACUGUCAUUUUUCGCAAGGAGUAGCACGAUUUCGACAGACUAUCGUAAGUGCUCGCGCGAUAAACCAACGCUGGAAAGUCCACGAUAAACCAACGACAGACUUGAGAGCAUUCAUCGUAUUUUAUUGCCGAUUGAACAAAAAAAAGUUAUAAACUUUGAUGGCCAAAAUAUUCUUUCGAAUCAAAAUAAAAAAUAUAAAAAAAAAUUAAGUGAGAACAAGGUAAUUUACUCUAAAAGAGAAAGGGAAUAAAGCCAAUUUUUGAAAAUUUCCAAUUAAAUUUGGUUUUUCUACUCUUCACCUAUACACUCCUUUACAAUAUGUUUAACGCUCUUUUACUAUAUGAUGGUGAUGAUUGUUUUAAUAUUAUUAUUAUUUGUUUAAAACUUUAUAUUUAUUAAAUUUAAAAAUUUAUAUUUGAUAAUAUCUAAAUUAUUAUUAAUAUUAUCAAUGGAUAAAGGGUUGUGCAAUUCGGAGUGUUCAUAUAUUUCAUGAAACACAACUGGUCACUUCAUCAUUCGAAAUAUUUUAAAAAAUUUUAUUUCUUUAAUAAUUCAUGAUUCACUUAAAUGUAUAUACUUAUACUCUAAAAAUGUAUUAAAAAUAAACUUACUUUUAAAAUAUAAUAUUUAUCAUAAAAACAUGUCGUUAAUGAAAUGUUUUUAAUUUUUAAAGGUUUAAUCAAAUAUUUAUAAACUCACGUUUAUAAUUUUUUAAAAACAUUCUGACUCGUUGCUUGGCAAAUAUCAACGGAUAUUGUUUUAAGGAUAAGAUUAACUCUUGUUCAUAAUCAAAAUUUUUUCUUGGUAUAAAAAAACCAUAAUCAUAGAAGAAGUUGUUG
rnacentral:lncRNA from 1 species